CAAUAGCGUAUAUUUAAGUUGUUGCAGUUAAAAAGCUCGUAGUUGGAUUUCGGAUGGGAUUUGCCGGUCCGUCGUUACGAUGUGCACUGGCCAGUCCUAUCUUGUUGUCGGGGACUAGCUCCUUGGAUUCACUUCCUGGGACUAGGAGCUGACGAGGUUACUUUGAGUAAAUUAGAGUGUUCAAAGCAAGCCUACGCUCUGAAUACAUUAGCAUGGAAUAACACGAUAGGACUCUGGCUUAUCUUGUUGGUCUGUGAGACCAGAGUAAUGAUUAAGAGGGACAGUCGGGGACAUUCGUAUUUCAUUGUCAGAGGUGAAAUUCUUGGAUCUAUGAAAGACGAACUUCUGCGAAAGCAUUUGUCAAGGAUGUUUUCAUUAA
rnacentral:rRNA from 1 species